rnacentral:rRNA from 1 species
GUGUGGAAUAUUGGACAAUGGGCGAAAGCCUGAUCCAGCCAUGCCGCGUGUGUGAAGAAGGUCUUCGGAUUGUAAAGCACUUUAAGUUGGGAGGAAGGGCAGUAAGUUAAUACCUUGCUGUUUUGACGUUACCGACAGAAUAAGCACCGGCUAACUUCGUGCCAGCAGCCGCGGUAAUACGAAGGGUGCAAGCGUUAAUCGGAAUUACUGGGCGUAAAGCGCGCGUAGGUGGUUUUGUAAGUUGGAGGUGAAAUCCCCGGGCUCAACCUGGGAACUGCCUCCAAAACUGCAUGACUAGAGUACGGUAGAGGGUAGUGGAAUUUCCUGUGUAGCGGUGAAAUGCGUAGAUAUAGGAAGGAACACCAGUGGCGAAGGCGACUACCUGGACUGAUACUGACACUGAGGUGCGAAAGCGUGGGGAGCAAACAGGAUUAGAAACCCCAGUAGUCC